rnacentral:rRNA from 1 species
CAAUAGCGUAUAUUAAAGUUGUUGCAGUUAAAAAGCUCGUAGUUGGAUUUCUGGUUGAAGCGACCGGUCGGGCGUUGAUUCGUCUGCACUGGAGUCGGUUUUGGCCAUCCUCUAGGAAAGUGCGUCUGGUAUUAAGUUAUCGGACGUAUGAUCCUGGUCUUUUACUGUGAAAAAAUUAGAGUGUUUAAAGCAGGCCUUCGCCUUGAAUACAUUAGCAUGGAAUAAUAAGAUAGGACUUUGGUCUAUUUUGUUGGUUUGCAGACCGAAGUAAUGAUUAAUAGGGAUAGUUGGGGGUAUUUAUAUUCCGAUGUCAGAGGUGAAAUUCUUAGAUUUUCGGAAGAUAAACUUAUGCGAAAGCAUUUACCAAGGAUGUUUUCAUUAA